AUUGAACGCUGGCGGCAUGCUUUACACAUGCAAGUCGAACGGUAACAGGGGCUUCGGCCCGCUGACGAGUGGCGAACGGGUGAGUAAUGUAUCGGAACGUGCCCAGUAGUGGGGGAUAACUACUCGAAAGAGUAGCUAAUACCGCAUGAGAACUGAGGUUGAAAGCGGGGGAUCUUCGGACCUCGCGCUACUGGAGCGGCUGAUAUCAGAUUAGGUAGUUGGUGAGGUAAAGGCUUACCAAGCCUGCGAUCUGUAGCUGGUCUGAGGGGACGACCAGCCACACUGGGACUGAGACACGGCCCAGACUCCUACGGGAGGCAGCAGUGGGGAAUUUUGGACAAUGGGCGCAAGCCUGAUCCAGCAAUGCCGCGUGCAGGACGAAGGCCUUCGGGUUGUAAACUGCUUUUGUACAGAACGAAAUGUCUCUGGCUAAUACCUGGGGAAGAUGACGGUACUGUAAGAAUAAGCACCGGCUAACUACGUGCCAGCCGCCGCCGUAA
rnacentral:rRNA from 1 species